UGCAGUCGAACGCAGUAGCAAUACUGAGUGGCAAACGGGUGAGUAUAAUGUGGGAAUCUGCCUUUUGGUUUGGAAUAACACGGGGAAACUUGUGCUAAUACCGAAUAAGCCCUUACGGGGAAAGUUUUAACGCCGAAAGAUGAGCCUGCACUUGAUUAGCUAGUUGGUAAGGUAAAGGCUUACCAAGGCUACGAUCAAUAGCUGUUCUUAGAGGAAGACCAGCCACAUUGGGACUGAGACACGGCCCAGACUCCUACGGGAGGCAGCAGUGGGGAAUCUUGCACAAUGGGGGAAACCCUGAUGCAGCGAUGCCGCGUGAGUGAAGAAGGCCCUUGGGUUGUAAAACUCUUUCGUCGGGGAAGAAAAUGACUGUACCCGAAUAAGAAGGUCCGGCUAACUUCGUGCCAGCAGCCGCGGUAAUACGAAGGGACCUAGCGUAGUUCGGAAUUACUGGGCUUAAAGAGCUCGUAGGUGGUUAAAAAAGUUGAUGGUGAAAUCCCAAGGCUCAACCUUGGAACUGCCAUCAAAACUUUUUAGCUAGAGUGUGAUAGAGGUAAGUGGAAUUUCUAGUGUAGAGGUGAAAUUCGUAGAUAUUAGAAAGAACACCAAAUGCGAAGGCAACUUACUGGGUCACUACUGACACUGANGAGCGAAAGCAUGGGUAGCGAAGAGGAUUAGAUACCCUCGUAGUCCAUGCCGUAAACGAUGUGUGCUAGACGUUGGAAAUAUAUUUUUCAGUGUCGCAGCGAAAGCAUUAAGCACACCGCCNGGGGAGUACGACCGCANGGUUAAAACUCAAAUGAAUUGACGG
rnacentral:rRNA from 1 species